rnacentral:lncRNA from 1 species
UUCUUAUUAUGUCACCCGAUCGACAAAGUCGGGUGACAUAUUGCUUUUCCUCUGUUUCUUUUUCCCUAUUAUUAUUAUUAUUAUUAUUAUUAUUAUUAUUAUUAUUAUUAUUUUUCUUCCACCUAAUUUUGUCCGGCAGUUUUCUCAGAGCCAAAGGAACCAAUCUGAAUGAUGGUACACUAUAACAAGGAACCCUGACUUUCCUGUUU